rnacentral:tRNA from 1 species
CAAAAAGUAGUUUAAGUAAAAAUUCUAGUUUUGGGGACUAGAGAUAGGGCUGACGUCCUUUUUUUGA